rnacentral:rRNA from 1 species
AGAUUUCCGAAUGGGGAAACCCAGCAUGAGUUAUGUCAUGUUAUCGAUAUGUGAAUACAUAGCAUAUCAGAAGGCACACCCGGAGAUCUUAGUACCCGGAGGAAGAGAAAGAAAAUUCGAUUCCCUUAGUAGCGGCGAGCGAAACGGGAAGAGCCCAAACCAACAAGCUUGCUUGUUGGGGUUGUAGGACACUCUAUACGGAGUUACAAAGGACGACAUUAGACGAAUCAUCUGGAAAGAUGAAUCAAAGAAGGUAAUAAUCCUGUAGUCGAAAAUGUUGUCUCUCUUGAGUGGAUCCUGAGUACGACGGAGCACGUGAAAUUCCGUCGGAAUCUGGGAGGACCAUCUCCUAAGGCUAAAUACUCUCUAGUGACCGAUAGUGAACCAGUACCGUGAGGGAAAGGUGAAAAGCACCCCGGAAGGGGAGUGAAAUAGAACCUGAAACCGUGUGCUUACAAGUAGUCAGAGCCCGUUAAUGGGUGAUGGCGUGCCUUUUGUAGAAUGAACCGGCGAGUUACGAUUUGAUGCAAGGUUAAGCAGUAAAUGUGGAGCCGUAGCGAAAGCGAGUCUGAAUAGGGCGUUUAGUAUUUGGUCGUAGACCCGAAACCAGGUGAUCUACCCUUGGUCAGGUUGAAGUUCAGGUAACACUGAAUGGAGGACCGAACCGACUUACGUUGAAAAGUGAGCGGAUGAACUGAGGGUAGCGGAGAAAUUCCAAUCGAACCUGGAGAUAGCUGGUUCUCUCCGAAAUAGCUUUAGGGCUAGCCUCAAGUGAUGAUUAUUGGAGGUAGAGCACUGUUUGGACGAGGGGCCCCUCUCGGGUUACCGAAUUCAGACAAACUCCGAAUGCCAAUUAAUUUAACUUGGGAGUCAGAACAUGGGUGAUAAGGUCCGUGUUCGAAAGGGAAACAGCCCAGACCACCAGCUAAGGUCCCAAAAUAUAUGUUAAGUGGAAAAGGAUGUGGCGUUGCCCAGACAACUAGGAUGUUGGCUUAGAAGCAGCCAUCAUUUAAAGAGUGCGUAAUAGCUCACUAGUCGAGUGACACUGCGCCGAAAAUGUACCGGGGCUAAACAUAUUACCGAAGCUGUGGAUUGUCCUUUGGACAAUGGUAGGAGAGCGUUCUAAGGGCGUUGAAGCAUGAUCGUAAGGACAUGUGGAGCGCUUAGAAGUGAGAAUGCCGGUGUGAGUAGCGAAAGACGGGUGAGAAUCCCGUCCACCGAUUGACUAAGGUUUCCAGAGGAAGGCUCGUCCGCUCUGGGUUAGUCGGGUCCUAAGCUGAGGCCGACAGGCGUAGGCGAUGGAUAACAGGUUGAUAUUCCUGUACCACCUAUAAUCGUUUUAAUCGAUGGGGGGACGCAGUAGGAUAGGCGAAGCGUGCGAUUGGAUUGCACGUCUAAGCAGUAAGGCUGAGUAUUAGGCAAAUCCGGUACUCGUUAAGGCUGAGCUGUGAUGGGGAGAAGACAUUGUGUCUUCGAGUCGUUGAUUUCACACUGCCGAGAAAAGCCUCUAGAUAGAAAAUAGGUGCCCGUACCGCAAACCGACACAGGUAGUCAAGAUGAGAAUUCUAAGGUGAGCGAGCGAACUCUCGUUAAGGAACUCGGCAAAAUGACCCCGUAACUUCGGGAGAAGGGGUGCUCUUUAGGGUUAACGCCCAGAAGAGCCGCAGUGAAUAGGCCCAAGCGACUGUUUAUCAAAAACACAGGUCUCUGCUAAACCGUAAGGUGAUGUAUAGGGGCUGACGCCUGCCCGGUGCUGGAAGGUUAAGAGGAGUGGUUAGCUUCUGCGAAGCUACGAAUCGAAGCCCCAGUAAACGGCGGCCGUAACUAUAACGGUCCUAAGGUAGCGAAAUUCCUUGUCGGGUAAGUUCCGACCCGCACGAAAGGCGUAACGAUUUGGGCACUGUCUCAACGAGAGACUCGGUGAAAUCAUAGUACCUGUGAAGAUGCAGGUUACCCGCGACAGGACGGAAAGACCCCGUGGAGCUUUACUGUAGCCUGAUAUUGAAAUUCGGCACAGCUUGUACAGGAUAGGUAGGAGCCUUUGAAACGUGAGCGCUAGCUUACGUGGAGGCGCUGGUGGGAUACUACCCUAGCUGUGUUGGCUUUCUAACCCGCACCACUUAUCGUGGUGGGAGACAGUGUCAGGCGGGCAGUUUGACUGGGGCGGUCGCCUCCUAAAAGGUAACGGAGGCGCUCAAAGGUUCCCUCAGAAUGGUUGGAAAUCAUUCAUAGAGUGUAAAGGCAUAAGGGAGCUUGACUGCGAGACCUACAAGUCGAGCAGGGUCGAAAGACGGACUUAGUGAUCCGGUGGUUCCGCAUGGAAGGGCCAUCGCUCAACGGAUAAAAGCUACCCCGGGGAUAACAGGCUUAUCUCCCCCAAGAGUUCACAUCGACGGGGAGGUUUGGCACCUCGAUGUCGGCUCAUCGCAUCCUGGGGCUGUAGUCGGUCCCAAGGGUUGGGCUGUUCGCCCAUUAAAGCGGUACGCGAGCUGGGUUCAGAACGUCGUGAGACAGUUCGGUCCCUAUCCGUCGUGGGCGUAGGAAAUUUGAGAGGAGCUGUCCUUAGUACGAGAGGACCGGGAUGGACAUACCUCUGGUGUACCAGUUGUCGUGCCAACGGCAUAGCUGGGUAGCUAUGUGUGGACGGGAUAAGUGCUGAAAGCAUCUAAGCAUGAAGCCCCCCUCAAGAUGAGAUUUCCCAACUUCGGUUAUAAGAUCCCUCAAAGAUGAUGAGGUUAAUAGGUUCGAGGUGGAAGCAUGGUGACAUGUGGAGCUGACGAAUACUAAUCGAUCGAAGACUUAAUCAA